CAUCUCGGCCAAAGUGAUGCACCAGCUGUGCAUCAUCUGGCACUUUUGCCAGGUGCCUGAGGCACUGCAGGGGCUGUGCCUCUGAGGCCACCAGCAACUCCCGCUCCCUGCUGCAGAUCUGAAAUGAAUAGGAGCCUCCUUCCCAGCUGUCUUCCAGGCCCUGGGAUUUGUCACAGGCUGCAGCUGAGCCACUUCCGGGAGCAGUGGGGACAGGUCACCUUGUCCCAUCAAAGCAAGCAAUGCUGGGUCUCCAAGAGGCUUAGAUGGAAGACCCCACUCCCUCAUGGAGGCUCUGCAGAAGACCUGCCCAGAGACAUGGAUGUCAUGCUGAAGAGUUUGCUGACAGCAACCCCCAUCACAGACAAACUCCAGCACAUCUUGGAGGCUCUGUCCCAGCCUCUCUCACAGAUGUAUCCUGCAGCCAGCCCAGCUCAGGGAGCAGUGGGGACAGGUGAUCUCAUCCUCUCAAACCAAGCAACAUGGGUCUUAUUGAGGCUCAGAUGGAAGGUCCCAUGCAUCUCCUGGAGAGGAUGUGUCCAGGAUCCUGGAUAAUGUUUUCUGCAGGAGAUUUGAGCGGGUAGAGAUCACUCAUGCUCAUGACCCAAGGGUCUUCAACCCGGGUCUGCAGGGAUAAUGGGAGCAGCCACACUCCAACCCUCCACCUGGAAGCCUGCUGAAAAUUGCUUACCUAGCACCCAUGAAGUUCAGCCCCAGUUUGAGGCUCCGCUCCUGAGGUCUUAUUGGAGGAGUCCCAAGGAAGCUAAUUGGCCUUCUGGCCCUGCUAAAGGCAGCAGCAGGAACAGGAAGCUGACUGAACACCGGGGCUGCUCCCUGUUUUGGACCGUGUGUUGCCUGUUUCUGAUGCCGCUCCCCUGGCUUGAUUUCCUGGCAUCUGAUUUGUGGUUGUGAUCGCAAGAUUGUCUUUUGCUUCUGAUCUUCCAGUCUCCUGUCCCAGCUGACUCUCGACUCCUGUCACGUGAAUGUGGACUCUGGCUCUGACCAGCAGGUCUGGCUGCCCUUGACCCAGCCGUGACAUUGACUUUCGUACAAUUUCUCCAAUGCCCUUUUCUGCUCUCCAGCAAGAUACAGCAGUACCUUGGCUCCCAAAGUCCUAGUUGCCUGCUAUUCAAGGGCUGAGGAGCAGUGCUUGUAUUUUCCCAACCCCAGCUGCUUUUCCUAUGGGAGUCUCCCUAGAGCAGAGGAGAAAUCUGCUCUUCUCUUAGGAUCAGUCCCAGCAGUAAUUCCACCCACCCUGGGAUCAGGGACACACCUUGGCCUGUGAGGUAGGUGGGAGUAGAGGCUGAGGCUGCAGCAGUUUCCACCAGAGGACACCACCCUGUCUUUCUAUGGUCUGACUAGGGCUCACCAUCCAUCCUGGAACUGAACACCGGAUGGGAGCCGAUAGAUUGUCCUUGGUGGGCCACGUUCUUGUGUGUGAUGGAGCUGUGUGCCAGAGGGGGCCAGGAGCAGAUGCCCCACGCAUGACCAGGACUGGGCUAAAGAGCUUGUAAUGCUAGGAACCUGUUUCUUCCCAGCAGAUCUUCUUCCCGGAACAGCAUCCCAUUGUUGAGGAAGCCAAAGCCCUCCUGUCAACACCAUCUGCUCAGCCAUGAACUCAUCUCCAGGAUUUGUGUCCCUGUCUCAGGAGAAGCUGGAGAGCCCAGGAGUUUGGAAGCCUGGUUUCCAUGGAGCCAUGAUCCUAGGAGCCCUGGUGCUGCAGCAAUCCUCCAAGUGUACUGACAAGGAAACCCUGGCUGCCAAGCUCCUUGCCAGGUGGGCUGCUGAGGAGCCAGGGGUACUGGGAGCCCAGGCUACUAAGGGAUCUGGGAGCCCAGGAGCCCUGGCAGCUUGCCAGUCAGGAUGUUUAGGAACCAGGUGGGCGGGCGAGCUGGCAAGGAACUUGGCAGAGAUGCCACAAUUGACAUGUUCCUCUGAAAUGUUUCACUGUUGAUUAAGUGGCAUUUUCUGAUAGAAUAACGUUCUGUUAGAAAAUUACCAACCAGCUCUAACUGUGGCCGAAUGUGAGCAGCAAAUUCUGAGCAGCGCUCUAUGGACCAGGAGAAGCCUAUUAAUGUUAGAUGCUGCACCUGGAGGGGAACCUAAUUCCAGAUGAAGCCCAGCUGGGAGAGGAGCUGGGCUAGGAGUAUAAAGUCAGAAAGGGAGAGCAGAAAGAGGCUGAAGGGAGUUGGGUUGCCAGGUGUCCGGUUUUUGACCGGCAUGCGCAUUCAAAAAGGGACCGUGGUGGCUCCGGUAAGCACUGCCAACCGGACUUUUAAUGGCAGGGCUAA